GUAACGGCGAGUGAAGCGGUAACAGCUCAAAUUUGAAAUCUGGCUCUUUCAGGGUCCGAGUUGUAAUUUGUAGAAGAUGCUUCGGGUGUGGCUCCGGUCUAAGUUCCUUGGAACAGGACGUCAUAGAGGGUGAGAAUCCCGUAUGUGACUGGUUGCCUUCGCCCAUGUGAAGCUCUUUCGACGAGUCGAGUUGUUUGGGAAUGCAGCUCUAAAUGGGUGGUAAAUUUCAUCUAAAGCUAAAUAUUGGCCAGAGACCGAUAGCGCACAAGUAGAGUGAUCGAAAGAUGAAAAGCACUUUGGAAAGAGAGUUAAACAGUACGUGAAAUUGUUGAAAGGGAAGCGCUUGCAACCAGACUUGCACCCCGUCGAUCAUCCUCCGUUCUCGGGGGUGCACUCGGCGGGGUUCAGGCCAGCAUCGGUUUCGGUGGUGGGAUAAAGGCCUUGGGAACGUAGCUCCUCUCGGGGAGUGUUAUAGCCCUCGGUGCAAUGCCGCCUACCGGGACCGAGGACCGCGCUUCGGCUAGGAUGCUGGCGUAAUGGUUG
rnacentral:rRNA from 7 species